rnacentral:piRNA from 1 species
UGAGCAAGACAAACAGGAGCUAUUGAGUGA